rnacentral:rRNA from 1 species
UGGGGAAUAUUGCACAAUGGGGGAAACCCUGAUGCAGCGACGCCGCGUGAGCGAAGAAGGUUUUCGAAUCGUAAAGCUCUGUCCUAUGAGAAGAUAAUGACGGUAUCAUAGGAGGAAGCCCCGGCUAAAUACGUGCCAGCAGCCGCGGUAAUACGUAUGGGGCGAGCGUUGUCCGGAAUUAUUGGGCGUAAAGGGUACGUAGGCGGUCUAUUAAGUCAGGUGUGAAAGCGUGAGGCUUAACCUCAUUAAGCACUUGAAACUGAUAGACUUGAGUGAAGGAGAAGAAAGUGGAAUUCCUAGUGUAGCGGUGAAAUGCGUAGAUAUUAGGAGGAAUACCGGUGGCGAAGGCGACUUUCUGGACUUUUACUGACGCUCAGGUACGAAAGCGUGGGGAGCAAACAGG